UACGUAGGGUGCGAGCGUUGUCCGGAAUUAUUGGGCGUAAAGAGCUUGUAGGCGGUUUGUCGCGUCUGCUGUGAAAAUCCGGGGCUCAACCCCGGACUUGCAGUGGGUACGGGCAGACUAGAGUGUGGUAGGGGAGACUGGAAUUCCUGGUGUAGCGGUGAAAUGCGCAGAUAUCAGGAGGAACACCAACAGCGAAGGCAGAUCUCUGGGACGUUACUGACGCUGAGACGCGAAAGCGUGGGGAGCAAACAGG
rnacentral:rRNA from 1 species